CAAAGCCAUACCACCCAGAAUAUGUCGGAUCUCUUAAGCUAAGCAGAGUUGUGCCUGGUUAGUACUUGGAUGGGAGACCACCAGGGAAUACUGGGUGCUGUAGAGU
rnacentral:rRNA from 1 species